UGGGGAAUUUUGCGCAAUGGGCUAACGCCUGACGCAGCAACGCCGCGUGGAGGAUGAAGGUCCUUGGAUUGUAAACUCCUGUCAGCAGGGAAAAAGCGACUUGACCUCAUACGUCAGGGAGUUGAUUGUACCUGCAGAGGAAGCCCCGGCUAACUCUGUGCCAGCAGCCGCGGUAAUACAGAGGGGGCAAGCGUUAUUCGGAAUUACUGGGCGUAAAGGGCGCGUAGGCGGCCUUGAUAGUUGGGCGUGAAAGGCCUGGGCUUAACCCGGGAACUGCGUUCAAUACUGCGAGGCUAGAGUGUGGGAGAGGUUGGUGGAAUUCCCAGUGUAGAGGUGAAAUUCGUAGAUAUUGGGAAGAACACCGGUGGCGAAGGCGGCCAACUGGACCACAACUGACGCUGAGGCGCGAAAGCGUGGGGAGCAAAC
rnacentral:rRNA from 1 species